GACUCCUACGGGAGGCAGCAGUGGGGAAUUUUCCGCAAUGGGCGAAAGCCUGACGGAGCAAUACCGCGUGAGGGAGGAAGGCUCUUGGGUUGUAAACCUCUUUUCUCAGGGAAGAAGAAAGUGACGGUACCUGAGGAAUAAGCAUCGGCUAACUCCGUGCCAGCAGCCGCGGUAAUA
rnacentral:rRNA from 1 species